UGUACUGUUGAUGAAGUUAGGUGCUGUUCUGAGCAUUAUUUGUGGCUAAAGAGUGGCGUUUUGGUUGAGUGUGUGCGCUUGGCUCCAUAGACCUCUGUGUAUUGCUAUCAUGCGGUUAUUACUAAAGUUGGUAUAACGAGAGAAGCAAACAUUCAUCUCUCGAGGGGGUGUCUAACUCGGUGUUACGGUGUGUUUGACCCUAACUUAGUUAAGCCUGAAGAUCCCUUUAAGAUAAAGCCCUUGUAGUGGACGCAGUUUGACAAUGUGCAAUUGCCCGAUCAAACUACGUUUCAGCUCAUUCACUCUUUCUCAAUACUGGACCAAUUUCAGAAAUUCUUCUCAGCAUCAGUCAAGAUCACACAAAAAUACAGGAAUUUUCCUUUUCUCUGCUUGAUAAAAAGGUUCAUUAUGGCUUUAUCAUAUCAGGGGAAACUCUUCUUAAAUAGAUUGCUGUUGAGCCAUCGCUAAAGUUAAAGUGGAGUUUUUCCCGACACAUGAACAAACCAAAAAAAAAAGAAAGACUUUCAGCCGAAUGAGGACGUGACAAAGACUUAAAAGUUAGGGUUCUGAAAAUGUUUAUCAGAGACGUAAAGCACUUGAAACAAGGAGUUUGGAUCUAUUCGAAUCUUGUGAAAUGUGAACUAAAUAUUUGAUGUCCAUGACUGCAGUUUACAGAGAGCACACUACGCAGCACUGAAUGAUAGUUUGAUGCCUAAAAACCAUUUCAUCAAGUAUUCCUUUAUUCUUUUUUCAUAAGAGGGCGUGUUUGUGAGAUUUUAGGUGAGUUUAUAAAUGCUUAUAUGCAGUUUGCUGUGUAUUUUUGACUUGUUGGCAGUUUGUCUUCCACUGAGUUUAAAAUCUCAGCUGAAAGUAAAAAUAUCACUAAAAUGUGACUCGAUCACAUAAGAACCAUGUUUGUGUGUUAGUUUUGUGAAUGCAGGCAGUUUGUUACUGAACGUUUUCUGAUCGAAAAAUUUGGUGCUUCACUUCAGAAAAGCACAGACACGAUUCACACACAUUCCACUUGUGAGGUUGAACAACUAUGAUCCUGGUGACGUCGAAGCAAAGGCAGCUUAUUUCAAUUAUCAUUUGAUUCAUACUCCAGCUAUGGUCGGGUGUUGUUGAGCUCCGGCAGCCAUAUUGUGCCUGUUGGUGUCAUUUUUUGCACCAUAGUGUUGUAGUCACGUGUUUUCAGUCAUUGAACCCAUGUAAUAGUCUUAUAAUGCACUGUAAUGAGAGCACUUGUCAGGAAAUGAUGAUUAUCGAUGCUAUGUUUACAAUACAUUUCAAAAUUACUGUGAUUUUUUUCUCUUAUAACCAUAUUCUUCCUAAUUUUAAAUCAAGUUUGGCUCAUGAAAGAUGAACAUUUCAGUUUUGUUUGUGGUGCUUUUGGUACCCUGAAGUAUCUGAUGAGGACAUUUUAAACAGCAGGUACAAGGUGCACAAUCGUAGGUCAAUAUUAAUCUGACCUAUGAUGUUUAGAUGAUGGUUAUGGACUUGUUUUAGAGCCAUUUUUGAACCGUGUCCUCUUUAUUCUUCUGUAAUCUGUUUGAAGUAGCUUUACAUUUAAAAUGUGCUUUCAGAUUUUACUUUUUGGCACAAAUGGAAAUUGUCACACAUCAAAUAAAAAUAAAAAACAGCUUUAAUGAUGGAGACAAACAUCUGCUUUUGGUCGUUUUCUGAGGAUCAA